AAGGAAAGGUGAAAUUGUCAGUGGCUAAGAUUGAAGACAGACAUAUUUUGGAGGAGCAAAUACAAGUACUAAAGGCUAAUUUAGAAAAUGAGAAAAAGAAGACAGAAAGAUUUAAGAAAGAAUCAGAAC